GUUUGGGAUCACACUUCCUCUUUGUAAGUAGCAGCAACCGGAUGCCAAAAGUAAAAUUAUUAAAUCAAAUUUAUUGUUUACUACAUAAAAUAAACAUAACAAAGUCCAAUGAGUACUUUAAAUUCUCAUUAGUCAUCAGGAUGCAUUUCGCCAUGAUUGAAAUGGCUUUCUCAGCUGGACAAAUGCAGCCGCAUUUCCACAGUGCUCUUAGUGACGCGGCAGCCGUUUCCACUCCAGGCUCCAUCGCAUCACUUCCAGACAGAAACAUAGAAUGUGACGGCAGAUAAGAACCAGUCGGCCCAUCUAGUCUGCCCAAUUUUCUAAAUACUUUCAUUAAAGGACCACUAUAGUGCCAGGAAAACAUACUCGGUUUCCUGGCUCUAUAGGGUCCUUGGGUCCCC